rnacentral:rRNA from 1 species
UGAGGAAUCUUGCGCAAUGGGGGCAACCCUGACGCAGCAACGCCGCGUGAGUGAGGAAGGCUUUCGGGUCGUAAAGCUCUGUCAGGUGGGAAGAAACAUAUGGAGGCCAAUAACCUCCAUACUUGACGGUACCACCAGAGGAAGCACCGGCUAACUCCGUGCCAGCAGCCGCGGUAAUACGGGGGGUGCAAGCGUUGUUCGGAAUCAUUGGGCGUAAAGCGCGUGUAGGCGGCUUGACAAGUCAGAUGUGAAAUCCCUGGGCUUAACUCAGGAAGUGCAUUUGAAACUGUCAGGCUAGAGUAAGGGAGAGGAAAGUGGAAUUCCUGGUGUAGAGGUGAAAUUCGUAGAUAUCAGGAGGAACACCGGUGGCGAAGGCGACUUUCUGGCCCUAUACUGACGCUGAGACGCGAAAGCGUGGGUAGCAAACA